rnacentral:misc_RNA from 1 species
ACAAAUCUUCAACACAAACCCUGUGUAAACGUUUGCGUUCCCUUGUGUGGAAGCAUGUGAGGUGGGUGAGGCUAGGCAACUGGCCCCACUCGUCGCCACGCCACCCCAAGGGAUCGUCUUUAUUAUACUAUUGAUUGACAGCCUAGAUACAAAGUUAACUAAAA